GGCUAUAGGGUGUGGUGACAGCACAUCGCUCUGUCUAAGCGAAAGUCGGGGUUUGAUUCCCCGUAUAGCCGCCA
rnacentral:tRNA from 1 species